rnacentral:rRNA from 1 species
GAUGAACGCUAGCGGCAGGCUUAACACAUGCAAGUCGAGGGGCAGCACGGGUAGCAAUACCUGGUGGCGACCGGCAAACGGGUGCGGAACACGUACGCAACAUACCUUUUACUGGGGCAUAGCCUUCUGAAAAGAAGAUUGACGACCCCAUAAUAUCAAUGACUGGCAUCAGUUGAUGAUUAAAAUUUAGUUGGUAAGAGAUUGGCGUGCGUCCUAUUAGCUAGUUGGUAUGGGUAAU